rnacentral:lncRNA from 1 species
GGAACCCAGGCCCUUCCGGUCCGGCAGCUCCUGCUGCGACUUGCAGCGUUUGGGGAAAGUUACUCACCAACUAGUCAUGCGCCUCGGAUGCCGCCGGCCACGGGGCUCCCGGAGGGGGGUCCGACACCGCCCGGUGCCCGGGAUCCCCAAUCUGGCCGGUGGAUGAGGCCCCAUCCCAUGCACCCGAGUGCGGGGGACGGGGGGGUUAAUAUUAAUUCAGGAUCCCAUCCCCACCCGAGGCAGGACACCCAGUGCACGCCCCAACUCCGGGACGCGGGCUCUGACCCUGGAACUUCCGAGAUUCCCGCGACGCCCCCUGUCUCUGGGUCCAGAACUUCGGGGGACACCUCUUCUGCCUCCUCCAACCCCAGAGAUGGGGUGUCACUAUGUUGCCCAGGCUGGUCUCCAACUCCUGGACUCAAGAGAUCUGCCUGCCUCAGCCUCUCAAAGGGCUGGGAUAACAGAUGUAAGCCACUGCAUCUGGCCUCCAAUGAGUUGUUAUGUGAAGAGAACGUGAUUGUAGAAGUUAGAGGACUCCAACCAGGCCUGAACUCUCAAGGACAGAAAUGGGUCCAACCUGGCAUGACAUCCUCUAAAUCUUUAGCUCCUGGCCUCUCAGGUGCCCCCUCCAGCUACCUCCCUCUUCCUUCUCUUCAUUCCCCAAGCCAUAGCUGGUUGGGCCAACCUCCAGACAUUAGCCUCUUUGCAAACUCCUAUUCAUCCCUCAAAGCCUCACCUUCAAUGCUCUCCUCCCCAAGAAGCUCUCUCCUCUACCUCUAGACCUUUUCCAGCCCUCUUCCCUCUUUCUGGCCCAGCCCUGACUCCUGGGAGUGUCUGUGUGCAGCUUUGACUCCCCCAGCCUGAGUGUCUCUCAAGGGCUGAGACCAGGGCCCAUGUUUCCCUAGAGUUUGUCAUCUUCCAGCAUAGUGUGGACGCAUGGGGGUCAGGCAAAGGGGGAGUUUGAUGACUCAGUACUAUUGGUGAUUUUGCAUCACUUGAAGGAGACCCUGCCUUAAAUUCAGAACUUGAAAAAAAAAAAAAAAAA